rnacentral:rRNA from 1 species
GAUGAACGCUGGCGGCGUGCUUAACACAUGCAAGUCGAACGAUGAAGCCCAGCCUGCUGGGCGGAUUAGUGGCGAACGGGUGAGUAACACGUGAGUAACCUGCCCUUGACUCUGGGAUAAGCCCGGGAAGCUGGGUCUAAUACCGGAUAGGAGCGCCUGUCGCAUGACGGGUGCUGGAAAGAUUUUUCGGUCAUGGAUGGACUCGCGGCCUAUCAGCUUGUUGGUGAGGUAACGGCUCACCAAGGCGACGACGGGUAGCCGGCCUGAGAGGGUGACCGGCCACACUGGGACUGAGACACGGCCCAGACUCCUACGGGAGGCAGCAGUGGGGAAUAUUGCACAAUGGGCGGAAGCCUGAUGCAGCGACGCCGCGUGAGGGAUGACGGCCUUCGGGUUGUAAACCUCUUUCAGUAGGGAAGAAGCGAAAGUGACGUACCUGCAG